ACUCAAAGGAAUAGACGGGGGCCCGCACAAGCGGCGGAGCAUGCGGAUUAAUUCGAUGCAACGCGAAGAACCUUACCUGGGUUUGACAUACGCCGGAAACGUCCAGAGAUGGGCGCCCUUUUGUCGGUGUACAGGUGGUGCAUGGCUGUCGUCAGCUCGUGUCGUGAGAUGUUGGGUUAAGUCCCGCAACGAGCGCAACCCUCGUUCCAUGUUGCCAGCACGCCCUUCGGGGUGGUGGGGACUCAUGGGAGACUGCCGGGGUCAACUCGGAGGAAGGUGGGGAUGACGUCAAGUCAUCAUGCCCCUUAUGUCCAGGGCUUCACGCAUGCUACAAUGGCCGGUACAAAGGGCUGCGAUGCCGUAAGGUGGAGCGAAUCCCAAAAAGCCGGUCUCAGUUCGGAUUGGGGUCUGCAACUCGACCCCAUGAAGUCGGAGUCGCUAGUAAUCGCAGAUCAGCAACGCUGCGGUGAAUACGUUCCCGGGCCUUGCACACACCGCCCGU
rnacentral:rRNA from 1 species